AUGCUUGCCAGACAGACAGUCAGCUGCAAGUGGUAUCUGCCACCAAGGAAGCACCAGCCUCACCAGGCCAGCCGUGCUUGCAGGGGGCCGUUUACACAUCGGUGCCGGGACCUGGUGCUCUCGGGGGCCACUGCAGCAUCUGCCUGCUCCCUGGAGGCCCCUGUUCUGGACUCACAGGCCUCACCUGUGGCACCUUCUCAGGGCCAGCCUGGGUCACAAGACGCUGUCACUCAGCCAGACCAGUAUUUACCCAGCAGGGGAGGUGGGAUUCGGCGAGAAACGCCAGCCUCAGACUUCUUCCCACUGAGGGUCCAGAGAGCGGGGCCAUGUGUCACCCACGUCUGCGCUUGGUCACCGCCCUCCCCACCCUAUGUGUGUUCUUGUCAUAGUUACAUUAAAUUCCAUUCAUUGAAUACUCUGCGGUCUUCCUCGGUUGCGGCGUGGUCUCGACGACUCCUACAUGACCACGGGCAGCUGCAGCACUUGCCUGGUUUCAUCAUGACCUUCCUGUGGCCUCACAAGGUGCCACCAGCUUCUGCUUCUCGAGCUAAAACAGGAAAAGCAGCUGCUGGAUGAGACAGCUGCAGCGCUGGACCAUGGGCCACCACUUCUGUGCCACACAGAGGAGACCACAGAGGCAGGUUCUCUCCUCCGACCUGCUCUACCCUCAGAUGGCCAACAGCUGGUCCCCGCCUCUCCCCAGCCUCUCCGAGCACGGUCCUUGUGUCAGCAGCAUCCCUGUGUGCUCACUAGAAAUGCAGGUUCUUGGGCCAACCCUGACCUGCCAAAGCCGAGGCUCUGGGGCCAGGGUCCCGGAAACCAUUAACAAGGGCCCCAGGUGCUUUUUCUGUGAACUGCUACCUGGUCCAUGGGGGAAACAGCACGUAGAUAAGACAUACUCCCGGCUAUCCUGCCCCCAGUGCUCAUGGCCCUGCCUGGCCAGCACCCUCUUGCCUUGGUUCUCCCCCUCCCUCUCCUGUCUUGCUGAGCUCACCCUCAGGCAUCUCGUGGGCAUCCAUCCUAACACGACCCAAGUAGAACCUUGGCUGUCCACCCAUGCGGGUCUUCCCCGUCUCAGUAAUGCCCCAGCCUAGGGUGUAGGGCUCAGACCGAUGUCCUGCAGGCCUCCCUGAGGGCCCUCCCCUCACUGUUCACACCCACACCGGCAGCUGACCUGAUGGCCCCUCCAGAAGACCCUGGGUCUGAUCUCAUUGGCCAUCCUCGCUGCCACCCCCAGGGCCAAGGUCCAGUGUGGGCUGUCCCUGUCUCCACCCCGCAGAGCUCCCGUGCUGGGACACUGCAGGGACAGGAGAGGGCUGGUACACAGGACAGAAGAAGGGCUUCGGUUUCCAGCAGCAGAACAGAUCAGCCCUGCAAACCCUCCAACAGACAGUAGAAACGCAGGAAAUGAAGCAGAUGUACCUCUCCGUGCCCAUAAAAACUCAAGAAGAUCCGCAGGAGCCAAAAACAAAGGAAGGAGACACGGAAGACACCAUGGUCUCGCGCCAGAAUUGCUCUUGGAAACCACAGGGUUUAGAUUUGGGGGCCAGGUGGCAGAUAGGACUUUGGACCUCCGGAAAUGGUGAAAUGCAGUGGAAAUGACUCCUGCAUGAAGCUGGAGUCUCAUAAGAGGCUCAAAAGAUACUUGGAGUAAAAAGAUGGACUAGAAAAAAAUCAUUCGCCCUUCACCCCUGAGAAUAAGCACCGUGUCCUCUUUGCCUGAGAUCCAGAGGAGAAAAAUCCUCCCCUGAGGUCUCACCACUCGUUUAGACCUGACAUGUAUAAUACACCGAUAUGGUUUGCAGGCACCCAAGCCAAGCCUCUAGGGAGGCACAAAACCUCCCUAGAGGGACCUAACUUCAUCCCUUCUUACCUAAGAUCCUCGCACACAAUCCACCCUACACACAAGAGCACAUCCUGAAAAUUACAAAACACAUCCAUGAAAGCAAACUUUAAACAGCAGGAUGGGCCGGGCACUGUAGCUCAUGCCUGUAACCCAGCACUUUGGGAGGCCGAGGCAGGUGGAUCACGGGGUCAGGAGAACAAGACCAUCCUGGCCAACACGGUGAAACCCGUCUCUACUCUAAAUAUAAAAAUUAGCUGGGCAUGGCGGCACGCACCUGUAAUCCCAGGUACUCAGUAGGCUGAGGCAGAAGAAUCACUUAAACCAGGGAGUCAGAGAUUGUAGGGAGCUGAGACUGCACCACUGCAGUCGAGCCUGGUGACAGAGCAAGACUCUGUCUUAAAAACAAAAAACCCAGCAGGAUCAGAUCCUCACGAAUUUCAGAGACUGUCAGGCACGUAAACAAAUACACUAUGCAGUAAAUCUGCUCCAGGUGAGUAAAGGCACAGGGACUCUCCACAAUUGAUCUUGGCCAAAAGGCGACGGCACAGGGACUUAAUAGAAAGGAACAAAAUGCUGUUGCGACAGAACUGUUACAACAUCCAACAAGGCAAAUAAUUUGCACGUGGAUUAUAACACCUACGAAUCAGAGAAAGGAGAACCUAAUAAAACGGGCAGCGCGUGAACA
rnacentral:lncRNA from 13 species